rnacentral:rRNA from 1 species
GUCAGGAGUCUGCUGGAGGUAGAGCACUGAAUUUUUGCGGGGGCGUCAAAGCCUACCAAUGAAUAUCAAACUCCGAAUGCCAGCCAGAUGCUCUGAUGGAGUCAGACUGCACGAGAUAAGUUGGGUAGUCAAAAGGGAAACAGCCCAGACCACCAGCUAAGGUCCCAAAGUGCGUGUUAAGUGGAAAAGGAUGUGGGAAUUCGAAGACAACUAGGAUGUUGGCUCAGAAGCAGCCAUUCAUUCAAAGAGUGCGUAACAGCUCACUAGUCGAGAGUUCCUGCGCCGAAAAUGUCCGGGGCUAAAACACGACACCGAAGCUGUGGAAUCAUGCUUGCAUGAUUGGUAGAGGAGCAUUCGCUGAGAGACGAAGCUGUACCGAAAGGAGCAGUGGAUUUCAGUGAAGAGAGAAUGCCGGAAUGAGUAGCGAGAGAUAGGUGAGAAUCCUAUCGGCCGAAUAUCUAAGGUUUCCAGAGUAAAGCUGAUCUGCUCUGGGUAAGUCGGGGCCUAAGGCGAGGUCGAAAGACGUAGUCGAUGGAUAACAGGUAGAGAUUCCUGUACUUCAUGAUAUCAGAAAUGUGGGGACACAGAAGCGAAGCACAAGCCGGGAAUGGAAAGACCGGUGCAAGCUAAGGAGCAGUAUGAGAGGCAAAUCCCUCAUAUAAUGCGAAGAAGUGAAGCGUAGCGAAAUAAGGGUAGCGAAGUGUGUGGAGAGGCUGUCAGGAAAAGCCGCUAUAGUGUAUCAUGAACCCGUACCGUAAACCGACACAGGUGGAUGAGGAGAGAAUCCUAAGGCCGACGGAAGAAGCAUUGUUAAGGAAUUCGGCAAAAUGACCCCGUAACUUCGGGAGAAGGGGUGCCUGCGCAAGCAGGUCGCAGAGAAUUGGCCCAAGCAACUGUUUAGCAAAAACACAGGUUUAUGCGAAACCGAAAGGUGAAGUAUAUGAGCUGACGCCUGCCCGGUGCUGGAAGGUUAAGGGGAGUGCUUAGACUUUGGUCGAAGGUGCGAACUUAAGCCCCAGUAAACGGCGGCCGUAACUAUAACGGUCCUAAGGUAGCGAAAUUCCUUGUCGGGUAAGUUCCGACCCGCACGAAAGGCGUAAUGAUUUGGGCGCUGUCUCGACAAUGCAUCCGGUGAAAUUGAAGUACCAGUGAAGAUGCUGGUUACCCGCGCCAGGACGGAAAGACCCCAUGGAGCUUUACUCUAGUUUGAUGCUGGGAUUCGAUACUGCAUGUACAGGAUAGGCGGGAGACUGAGAAGUAGUGACGUCAGUUGCUACAGAGUCGCUGUUGGGAUACCGCCCCUGCAGUAUUGGGUUUCUAACCUGCGGCCGUAAGCCGGUCGGGGGACAACGUCAGGCGGGGAGUUUGACUGGGGCGGUCGCCUCCGAAAGG